rfam:Homo sapiens chromosome 1, GRCh38 reference primary assembly.
AUCCUUUUGUGGUUCAUAAGCAUGAUGAUUGGGUUUUCAUGCUGUGUGAGGUGUGCCUCCCUCAGACCUUGUUAUGACAUUAGUAUAUUACCUGUCUGACA